rnacentral:rRNA from 1 species
GACGAACGCUGGCGGCGUGCUUAACACAUGCAAGUCGAGCGAUGAAAUCCCUUCGGGGAUGGAUUAGCGGCGGACGGGUGAGCAACACGUGGGUAACCUGCCUCAAAGAGGGGGAUAGCCUCCCGAAAGGGAGAUUAAUACCGCAUAACAUUAGUUUUUCGCAUGGAGAACUAAUUAAAGGAGUAAUCCGCUUUGAGAUGGACCCGCGGCGCAUUAGCUAGUUGGUGAGGUAACGGCUCACCAAGGCGACGAUGCGUAGCCGACCUGAGAGGGUGAUCGGCCACAUUGGAACUGAGACACGGUCCAGACUCCUACGGGAGGCAGCAGUGGGGAAUAUUGCACAAUGGGCGAAAGCCUGAUGCAGCAACGCAGCGUGAGUGAUGAAGGCCUUCGGGUUAUAAAGCUCUGUCUUUUGGGACGAUAAUGACGGUACCAAAGGAGGAAGCCACGGCUAACUACGUGCCAGCCGCCGCGGUAA